AUAGAGGGCACUAUAAGUAUAUUUUGGUCGUCAUCGUCGCCAUAUUCAUUUUAAUCUCUAUUCUGCUUCGGAAGUGCGAGUACGACGCGGUAAUGAGUCUACGAAUAAUUAUACCUGCCAAUUAAAUAUCCGCUCAAGCUCCACAUCAUUAUAAGAAACAGAGACCUUUGUCUCAUCACGAAGACGACAGAUGGGUGCCGCUUCACUUCCAGCAAAUAUUCCGACACAAUGACACAAGGACAAUGAAGUCAAACGUCGUCGUGUGGGGACGAAUACAGACGACGACCUGAGAAAUUGAUGGCGUAAUCACAAAAAGAGCACAAUGAUGAUCCGGUCCGCUUAUUACACUGGACAAAAUAAUUUGUGACCCACAUAUUUGUCGAAAGAUUUGGAAAUAAAAUUAAAAAUUCAAGGAUUUCGGAAAAUAGAUAUAAAAUGUUUAAUUAUUCGUGUGUACUUAUGCAUCUAUUCAUAUAGACUGAAAUAAUUGCUGAAUGGUAUUUACACGAUGUUAUAUGAUAUUCACACAAUGUUCAUUGAAAAACGUCAUCAUUUUCGUAACAUGUUAACAUAUGUGACUUUAUUAUUGAGACGUUAAAUUUAAACACCUACUAUUAAAAUUGAUAUUAUCCGACCAGAUAAAGCCUUUGCAAUUAUUGCAUAAACAUCCUAAUUAUACUCGUGAUAAGAACAAAAUGCAACUAUAAAUGCAACAGGUAUGUGGAUCACGUGUAUAUUUAUGAUUGACGGAAUCGAGAUAAAAGCGAAGAGACACUUGCGCUAGUUUUGAUAUUUUAUUCAUAAAAAAAAUAUUAAACUUUUCAAAGAAUGAUGGCAAAAAGACCUGUUUUUUUGUUCAUUU